ACACGGCGCCAGAACGCGUCGUCAGACCGGAACAAACAGGCGCGCCAAUUAAUGGAGAUCCUCCAUCGCGUCACCAUGGGCUCAUAACAUGGCACAUUGAUGCCGGGUAUGAAAAUAGGAGCCAGCGGCUUGUCUAGGCGUAGAUCCUAGAAUGUAUCUGUCGAGACAUGGCUCUGGCAUCAGAAUGGACGCUAUUGAACGCCCAAGCCCACCCAUCAACUGGUUGGUAUAGUUGCCCACGUGCUACGAAUUGCAAGUGUACAUCCACUUGUACCGAGUCUCUCCGUAGAUCAACAAUGUACACUGGUACAACCAACAUACAAACACACACUGUACUCUGUCGACACCAGAAGAAGCAACUCUCAAUAUUACACCUCGUUGCCCAUCUCCGCCCACAAUGGACAUUGUCACGCACCCAGACCCUGGCUUGGCUGAAAACGAUCUUCACCUCUUGCAAUCGGAGACACGGAUCCUCCAACCUCCAAAGGGCGCUUCUGAGGCAAGAAUGUGCGAGAAUAUGAUCACCAAGCCCCCAACUUGCCAUCAAAUCGAGCAAACACGUACGAGUGUACGCUACAGCACCAUAACAGACCAUCAAGACCAAUCCGGGGUCUAUUCAAACAUCUCCAACGAACAUAGCAUAGCGUACGAAUCACAAUGUCCAAAGCCGAGAGUAACGCCAUCAUAGGAGGUCAAAAAGAGUGUACAAUGCCAUCUCAAUUCAUUUCACGUCCCGGCCGGUGAACAUUCUGAACCGGUCAGUGGAACAGUUUCUACGUACAUGUAGUUCGAGGACCGCAACUGGUACGUUAAGGACCAUAACAGUCCAUCAAAGAUUGUUUCUAUUACCUCUGUCCAUCACGUACACUAAAGU
rnacentral:misc_RNA from 1 species